rnacentral:rRNA from 1 species
AUGACGUCAAGUCCUCAUGGCCUUUAUGUCUAGGGCUACACACGUGCUACAAUGGGUGGUACAAAGAGCAGCUAACUCGCGAGGGGGAGCCAAUCCCAAAAAGCCGACUCUCAGUUCGGAUUGCAGGCUGCAACUCGCCUGCAUGAAGCCGGAAUCGCUAGUAAUCGCGGAUCAGCAUGCCGCGGUGAAUACGUUCCCGGGCCGUU